AGGAGGAUGUGGCUGGAAAUGAUCCAUAUAUAGGAUGUGGACAGCACUAGUAGAUGAACUGAAAUGUAACUGAUAUAAAAUAAUUUUUUUUGGAGGAGGAUUGGUUUCUAAAGUGUUUUGUUUCCAUUACUAUCCCUAUCAAGACGCCUUGCGGAGAACAGUGACGUAAGGCAUGGAGGUCGGAUGACUUACCGCUUUACAUCACAGGUUCACUUUUCUUCAGUUUGUAAAUGGAUCCAAUCUGUAAACCCAUACCUACUCUGUGUUUCUGCCAGUUCCCCAAACUUGAGAACCAACAGAUGGGCUUGGACACUCACCACCAGCCUGUUUCCAGCUCCACUGCACAGCCAGCAUCACACCACCCACGGGAGGCCUGGGGAAGGACUCUUUACCCAAACCCUCAAUCAUUUGCCAAAUCUCACAUGUUGGAGGUCUAGCUGAGUUCGGUAGAUGUCCAUCAAGUGUAAAAUCAAGACUGUGACACUAUGUAAAACCAAGUAGAGUUGCAAUAAUCGAAAGUGAGUACUGUAGUAGUCGGUGUUUGUUGAGACGUUUUAUUGCUCAUAUCUAUAUCAAUGAAAGGAAUGUAAAAAAAAAACAAAAAACAGCAAAACCUUAAUGUUAAGGCAGCAUCGCUCGUUCUAAUGUAGAUUUUGACUAUCAGUCGUACUACUAAAGAAAAAUAACUGAAAUUGGUGCUAUGAUUAACAUUUUGAUGAUUAUUCACUCCCUUAAAGGGAUAGUUCAUCUAAAAAUUAAGGUUCUGUCAUGAUCUACUCAUUCUUGUAUUGUUGCAAAUGUCUUGGUUUAUUGUCUAUACAAUGGAAGUCACUGGGGUCUUACAUUGCUUCAGACUCCACUGACUUUAAUUGUGUGGGGGGAAAAAAAACAAUCUUCAGAAUGUCUUAUUUUGUGUUCUACAGAAGAAAGCAAUUCAUGCAGAAUUCUCAUUUUCCAAAGAACUAUUCCUUUGAUACACAUACACUGCCUAAGAGUUUAUUUUUGUUCUCAUUUACACUCAAAUAGGUCUUCAUACAGCCGUUUUACAUGUUUGCUGUAACUUAGUUGUCAUGGCAACAGAGGAACUGUGGGAAAGUGGACGGCUGCCUGCUUUCUGAAUCACUUGGUAUGGGGUGUUGUUGUUAGGCUAUUGUUAUAUUAAGUUCUUAACAGUCACAGUUUUCCCACAUAAGGAUAUAGGAUACUCCCCUGUUCUUGUCAUUAAAGAAGCACAAGAAGCUAGAGAAAUUAUAAUGUUCUGACAAUCAUCAAACAUUCGGCACAAGCUGUCUUAACCUUUGGGCCUCCCAGAUUGUGAAACCGACUUCCAGUUUAAAAUGAACAAACAGAUGGUUAGGUUCACCAUGUAGGGGUUGCACAAGCAAGAAGACUAAGUGUAAUUCCACGUAUGCCAGUGGACGUGAUCCAUCGAGUGGAAGACAUCUGUGCGGCAGAGCUUUUCCAACAUCCUUUCUCCUAACGAGCCAGUCAAACCCUCCGCUUACUUUUCUAUCAAGCCAUAGACACUUAGAUUCACUAUCAUUUGUAGAAGGUAAUGUAUGCCAGUUUAUGAUUACCUAGAAUGGUGAUACAAAUAUGAAUCUCAAAUCUGUUUUUUGGUUUCAUUGCACUCCACAGUCAUAGACUGCAAUGCUUUUUUUUGGUCAUUGAGGCUCUGGUUCUGCCCACCCAUCUUCUUUUCUCAUUCCAGUCCUCAUGACAUUCACACACUCACAAGAGUAUUCCUAUGUAUGAAUUUGUCAAUGCGAAAACCUGCAGGUUUCCUCAUGAGACCAGAGAAUUUAAAUGUGUAAAGGUGAGUGAGAGUGGAAUAGAAUGAGAUGAAUAGAGCAAAAGGGGAGAUUUUUCCAGCUUUCUGACGAAACGUGUGAAAUUGAUUGCUUGUGGCGCGGGGGUUUAAACUAAUGGCUUGAGCACUAGGUCGACUUCAAGAGUAAAUGGCCAGAGGAGAGAUUAGUGGUGUUACUCCGUGUCUCGCAGCCAAAUUGGCCUGUAAUUCAUGUCCAAAAUGUAUAAUAGUUCACGUAGAAGGUGCUGUGAGAGGCAAAAAGGUUAAGCGUAGGCUGUUACAGGCAUGAGACCACCUUAAUUUAAGCCAUGUUUGAAUUUAACAUCUGUGAAAAGAGAAAACAAAGCUUUAUUCGUAAUUCAUGCCUGGAUCUGCUAGUUACACAAAAAGUUGAGCAGUGGCUUGCAGAUUCCUUAAAAUGACUUGUUAAAAUGAUUCAAACUUGAUUCAUACUUCAGAUACUUUACACUCUAGAUUUGUCUGGAAAGUUCACAGCAAGCAUCAAAUUCACAGCUCGGCCUCUUUAAGGACCCAGACUGAACUAUUAUUACAAACUAGCAAAUGAGAAAAAUUUAGCAAAUGGUGCUGCAGUGAGCACUCUCAAACAUUCAAAACGUUACCCUUGCGCCUACAGUUUCACAGAAACGAGAAGCGGGUUUCGUGCUUGAAUGGAGAUGGUAAGAAACUACAGCACUUCCUGUCAGGAAGUACACUUCAUCCUCUUAGUAAAGCCACGGGUAGAAAUUUGUGAGCUAAGAAAAGACUUUCUUGACCCCCCUCAGAGAAUGAUAGAUAAAUGCAGGAAGGUGGUGAAAUCUCCCUUUUUGAAGAAGAAUCUUUCUCAAAACAUGGCAAGAUAACAGCUCAGACAUGAUAUAUAAAUACAUCUUUAAAUUUAAGUCACUCAUUUUUCUCUCAACAUGGUUGGUAAAAAAAUUACAUAAAAAUGUGUGAUGCGAGAUUUACGUUUUUAUAUUUUUUGUUUUUUGAUUUUAUAUGAACAGACAUUGAUUUGUACAUAUUUUUGUUUUUGUAAACCUGAGGAAAUAUAUAGCACCCUAGAAAAUGAUUUAUUCAUAAGAGAAGUGUUUUGUAUAUUGAGUUGAAAAUAUUACUCAGUACAGCCCAGUUCAUGUAUAAAGUAAAGCUGCAUCUAACCACUAUUUUGUUAAUUUUCUGAGUCGGUAUAAGUGUUGGCCAGCCAUUCAAAAGAAUUUAAUUAAUGUGAUCCGAACGAAAUCGGGUUCAUUGCUGAUACUUAUGAAGCUCUAAUCUGUAUUGUGACCUGAGAAUGUCAUUUGCUAACUCUUAAUUUGUUUGAUUUGAGUGAAAUGAACAAUGUGGAUAUAUUGGAAAAUGUAAAUGAACUGUCACAGCCCUCUUCUGUCCUCUAGUGGCAGGGAGGAAGUCUGCAAUUUUAUUUCACUUAUGGAUAGUAGAUGUUUAAACUGUCAUUGUACAAAUGCCUUGGUCAAGGAAAUGGUUGCACAAGUGUUUCUGCCACAUUAUGCAUAUUUUGAGUUACAGGCCAGAGUUUCCCCCGGAAAGACUGUAGGAAAUAGGAGGAGCUGGAUGCUUCUGCUAGUUAUGUCUGGUUUACCAGGCCAAAAAUAACACAGAGUAAUUUGGAGAAAGCACAUUCUAUGAUGGAACGUCUUUAUGUGGAAUAUCUUACCAGAGCUCUUUAGUCCCUUAAGUGAGAUUUUUUACUACAUGGAUGUAUGGAUGUUACAAAAUUCUGACAUUAAAACGAUAAUAAUAAAAUAGUAGAAAAGAGUAAAAGGGGGGCGAGGGGAUGGAGUAUGAAAAAACUAUAGCGUGUAAAUAAAACCGUAAUUAUUAGAGAGUCCUACAAAAUUAUGUCCAGAAAAAAAAAAGUUUUAUUUACUAAAAGAUGGAGUUCUUAGGUAUAUAUUAAAAGUAAAAAAUAUAUAUAUAUUUAAAACAUUAAUUACAGCAAUGCAUGUACAUUCUAAAAGCAAUCGCACGGUGCAGAUGAUUAAAAAAAAAGUUAUCUACAUGUUUUUCUAAAAAAAAAGUAAAGGGAGAGAAUAGUGAGGUCAAGUGCACUGAUAUGAGGUUCACAGCUGUAGAGUCCAAAUAGUCUGAUUUAUUUGUGGCUCAGGCAUGUCCAGUCUUACUGUAACCUGUGGUGAUGUGGUAACCAGACUUGAGUGGCAAGCUCUGAGUGUGUUUAACUGAGCAGAUUAAACUCAGCUCUGACCAUCAGCGCACUAGUAAUGGUGCGAGCCCUAAGCCCACGCUGUGACCCUCCCAUCUCUAGAGUAGAGAAAUAUACCAACAGAGAAUCACUCUAUAUACAAAUAGGAUAUAUAAACACCUAUAGAUACAGAAGAAAAAGAAAUUAAUUUGUCAGUGUGGAUGCCAUGAUAACUUUGUGAGAAAUGUGACUAUUUAUUUAUUUAUUUUAUUUUUUUCCUGUGAGAAAUCGUUGAGAGCUGAGACCUUUUGUACAUACUUGCUGUGGUUGUGUGUCUAAUAAAGUACAGCUCUCUUCUAUGACAA